GCCCGGUUAGCUCAGCCGGUAGAGCGUUGGACUUUUAAUCAAAAGGCCAAGGUUUCAAGUCCCUUAUCGGGCU
rfam:Ciona savignyi cont_37012, whole genome shotgun sequence.